rnacentral:misc_RNA from 1 species
AUGCAUGAUUUGAUGCAUGAUCUCGCUGCAUUAGUGAGUGGAGGAGCAAGUGCCGUACUAGAUUCAAAUGUGGCAUAUGCUGAUGAAGGAACUCGACAUAUAUCCAUUGUUUCCAAUUCAGACUCAAGAUGGGAAGUUUUACCUUCUUUGCUUAAAGUAAGGAAGGCAAGGUCAUUGCUUCUACCAAAUGGAUCAAAAUGGAGUGAAAUCCAAGAUGACCAAUGCCAUUUGAUUUUUUCUAAGCUGAGACGUUUACGAGCGUUAGAUCUACAUGAUUCAGGCGUUGAGAUGGUGCUGAGUUCUGUUGAUAAACUGAAGCAUCUAAGGUAUCUUGAUC